UGUAUAGAUGUAUUUUUUUUAGUAUUUCGUUAAAAGGUAUCUAUAAUAAUCUACUUAAAUUCGUGUUUCUUAAAAAGGAACACGGCUCAAUAAAGUUUCUUAAAAGCACUUUUUAGGAAUAAUUGGUCAAAACCCCUAACAUUACCACUUUUAUAUCGCACACCAACACACAGAAAAUAUCAUACGUGUGAUUGAGCAUAACCAUGACGAUAAAGGCGCUACAGUUAAAGGGGAUCCGCAUUUGUCAACAUUGCCCAAGGGGAAUACAAAUCAAGUCUUAUCAGUCAGAUGACUAUUAUUAAUUUAAUCAACAUGUUUAUAAAAAGAUUGAAUUCGUCACAUCACAUAACAUCAAAUAAAUAGUCAUUUUAACUUUCCCUAUUAAUCGUUAAAAAAACAUAAAGAUUCUAUUUAUAUACAACAGCUAUAUUUUAAGAAUUAAUUCUGUCUUGACGUCUCCUCUUGAUGAUGCAUGCUUUUUCUAAUAAUCCGCUUUUGAUGAGAUGUUAUCAUCUCGGUUAAACAGAAUACCAAUAUAAACUUUGUGUUGUCAGAUGCAAGAAAACAAAAGGUAUCUAACGCCAGCUCAAAUGCUGUUUCGUGACGUCAUUUACAUAAUGUGAUAAAGACCGUUAUGGGAGGGUCUUUGCAAAAACACUCUUCAUCUUAGAAAUUUUUUUGUCACUGAUACACCACGAAAAAAGAUGUGGUUGUAGAACAAUUGUGGUUUUCGUUGUUACGCGAAUUUAAGUUUUCCUUCACGCUGUAUUUUAACCACUUUGUUUUUACGACGAUGACGAAGAGACGUAAAGAAAGAAAGUGACAAAAUAAUAUUUAUUGUUGACAUGACUUGUAAUUGGAUUUGUAAUUUUCACUUUAUCUAUACCGGACGUUAUGUGUUUAGCUAUUUGCCCAACAAUUUAUAGAAAAAUAUAACGGUCUAGAA